rnacentral:lncRNA from 1 species
AGUUCCUGGAAACUGUGAUAGCCUCAUCUCAAACUGUCUGAAUGAAAUAGCAUGAUUAUGUUUAAGAAAAUCAACUUUUUUACAUAACUAUGGGGUACAUCUUUUGUUCCUAAUCAGUAAGUUAAUAAUUAUAGGUAUUAUACAUAAAAAGUGAUUUACCUUCCCUUUUUAGUAUAGCUAGUAGUAUGCAGCGCCAGCACCAUGCUCUUCUACUCCUUUUUUAAGUUCUUUGGGGGCAAGGAUGUGGUCAUGGAACUCAAGAAUGACCUGAGCAUCUGUGGAACCCUCCAUUCUGUGGAUCAGUAUCUCAACAUCAAACUAACUGACAUCAGUGUUACAGACCCUGAGAAAUAUCCUCACAUGUUAUCAGUGAAGAACUGCUUCAUCCUUGACUCAGUGGUCCAUUUUAUGCAGUUGCCAGCUGAGGAAGUGAACACACAGUUCCUACAGGAUGCAGCAAGGAAGGAAGCCCUACAGCAGAAGCAGUGAUUACCACUGUUCCUUUUCCCUCCCUUUUCUAUUGGUUCCCCAUAACCUUAUGACCCCCAAUACUUGAGGUGUUUUGUUUUUUUAAAAAAGUGAUGGCUUUUUUUCCUAAAGGGAUUUAGUGGAUGAGAGGAAUAAUAGCAAAGAGCAGCUAUCCUCUGUUGAGAAGGGAAAGAGGUUGGGGAAUUUCAAAGCCUUCCCUGUCCCCAGCACCUGUCUUUCUCCCUCCUUCCCUGGACAUAGUGGGAGAGUUUCCUUAGUCUCACCAGGGCAGCAUGUAAUUCAUUUGGGGGAUAGAAGGAAUUUUUCCCUCAUCAGGAAUAAAAUUUAUGAUGCAAAUUUGAAAACAAAAGUGAUU